AGAUGAUCCAGAACUUCCAGGAUGAAUCCUGUUUUAUCUUGGAUACAAUGAAAGCUGAAACGAAUGAUAGUUACCACAUCAUCCUGAAAUAAAGCUUGACACAAAGCAGAUGACUCUUCAAUGAAGACACAGACUCGGUGUCCAGGAUCGGUUUAAUGUGCUCACUAGACUUGAAUAUGCUAGGGGUAAAACCCUACAGGAAAUAGCAAGCGUAUGUGUUGAAAGGUUUGGGCUACAUGUGACCCUAUUCCCCUUUAGAUUGCGCACCACCUUCCAUGACCUCUGCCGUCUGGUUUCUUGUGAAGAUUACAAUAGGCACGACAAUGCCAUCUGUGUUACCCACCUUUGCUUAAAGUGGCGUACAGAGGAUCUUCACUCCCAAAAAGCCUUUAUAAGAGAAGCACGUUAACAGAGUAAAAGCUGGUAUGUGAAAGGCAGCUACCAGACUUUAUCUUCACAAGGAUGACCAGAGUGCAGUAUGACUACACAAAUAGCUAAAGAAAUUAACCUUUCAAUUGACAUAACUAGUUAGUUAUGUUUCCUUGGCUCAUGCGUUCACAUCUUCCUUAUUUUUUUACUCUCAAAAACUUUUUUAAGCUGUUUUCACUAUCUGCUGGAAGAAGUGAAUGCAAAAUUAUUAGUCGUAAAACAUAUGGGGGUAUUUUAUUGAUCACCCCCAUAAUAUUUCACUGUCUGAAAGAUUUACGGGGGGUUCGUUUAUAUAUAUAUAUAUAUAUUAUUUUUUUUUAUUGUAGCAUGUCUCUUGUAUGCUUUAUGUAAUUUCACUUCCUGCUGUUGUUGCUGUCAAAUUUAUACAUGUUUUUUUUUUAUGAGUACAUUUGCACACGGAUUGUCAUUUAGUUUCACAUGGCUGCUGAGCAGGCAGUAGUACAAUCUGUUUGUUUAGAACUAGUGAAAUACCUAAGCAUUGUUUUAUUAAACCAUGUUUGAGCUGCAGUUGUUUUCUGAUGUUUUGAGAGGUAAGCAAAUUCAUACCCUCUUCUUGGAAAUCUGUGAAAUGUCAUUUCCUUUUUAAUAAUUCUAUAAAAGGCAUUAAUUUUUUUUAUUUUAUUUUUUAAAUAUUGUUCACUCUUAUUUUCUCUAGAAGCCCACAGCUGUUUUUUAGGGAAUCGUUGGACAAGCAAAGCAUAGCUUUGUUCAUGUAGGUACUUGACAACCAUCUAGAUGUUUUGUCCGAUACGAGUACUUCAAUAUGAAUGGAAUAUCAAUUCUGCUCUUCCAUUUCAAGGUUCUUGCAUUAUUUAACUGGCUAGUUUUCCUUACAUUUCUACAACUUAAGGUGUUGAUCAAUAAAAAAAGUGAUUCCAAAAUAUUGUAGAUCGCUGUUUGGCAGCUAAUUUGGGAAAUGUGUUCAAUGUCUUUUAAAGCAAUUUUUUGACCCACGCGAUACUUGUGCAUGCCAGAGCAACUGCCCAUAUCUCUACAAAUCAACAUCACACAAGCUUGAAGCAUUGUAUGCUGAAUUGAAUCCAGGAAAAAUAUCAUUUGAAAGACUUAAUAUGCACACUUGGUACAGUUACAUCUGCAAACAGAAAAAAAAAAUUCAACCUCCUGUUCAUAUAAUUUAAACUACAGACUAAUGUAUUUCAAAAUAAAUGGAGAAACCAAUUAUUUGGCUUUAUAAA